GGCGGCGUGCCUAAUACAUGAAGUUAGAACGCUGAAGAGAGGAGCUUGCUCUUCUUGGAUGAGUUGCGAACGGGUGAGUAACGCGUAGGUAACCUGCCUUGUAGCGGGGGAUAACUAUUGGAAACGAUAGCUAAUACCGCAUAACAAUGGAUGACACAUGUCAUUUAUUUGAAAGGGGCAAUUGCUCCACUACAAGAUGGACCUGCGUUGUAUUAGCUAGUAGGUGAGGUAAUGGCUCACCUAGGCGACGAUACAUAGCCGACCUGAGAGGGUGAUCGGCCACACUGGGACUGAGACACGGCCCAGACUCCUACGGGAGGCAGCAGUAGGGAAUCUUCGGCAAUGGGGGCAACCCUGACCGAGCAACGCCGCGUGAGUGAAGAAGGUUUUCGGAUCGUAAAGCUCUGUUGUAAGUCAAGAACGGGUGUGAGAGUGGAAAGUUCACACUGUGACGGUAGCUUACCAGAAAGGGACGGCUAACUACGUGCCAGCAGCCGCGGUAAUACGUAGGUCCCGAGCGUUGUCCGGAUUUAUUGGGCGUAAAGCGAGCGCAGGCGGUUUGAUAAGUCUGAAGUUAAAGGCUGUGGCUCAACCAUAGUUCGCUUUGGAAACUGUCAAACUUGAGUGCAGAAGGGGAGAGUGGAAUUCCAUGUGUAGCGGUGAAAUGCGUAGAUAUAUGGAGGAACACCGGUGGCGAAAGCGGCUCUCUGGUCUGUAACUGACGCUGAGGCUCGAAAGCGUGGGGAGCGAACAGGAUUAGAUACCCUGGUAGUCCACGCCGUAAACGAUGAGUGCUAGGUGUUGGAUCCUUUCCGGGAUUCAGUGCCGCAGCUAACGCAUUAAGCACUCCGCCUGGGGAGUACGACCGCAAGGUUGAAACUCAAAGGAAUUGACGGGGGCCCGCACAAGCGGUGGAGCAUGUGGUUUAAUUCGAAGCAACGCGAAGAACCUUACCAGGUCUUGACAUCCCGAUGCUAUUUCUAGAGAUAGAAAGUUACUUCGGUACAUCGGUGACAGGUGGUGCAUGGUUGUCGUCAGCUCGUGUCGUGAGAUGUUGGGUUAAGUCCCGCAACGAGCGCAACCCCUAUUGUUAGUUGCCAUCAUUCAGUUGGGCACUCUAGCGAGACUGCCGGUAAUAAACCGGAGGAAGGUGGGGAUGACGUCAAAUCAUCAUGCCCCUUAUGACCUGGCUACACACGUGCUACAAUGGUUGGUACAACGAGUUGCGAGUCGGUGACGGCGAGCUAAUCUCUUAAAGCCAAUCUCAGUUCGGAUUGUAGGCUGCAACUCGCCUACAUGAAGUCGGAAUCGCUAGUAAUCGCGGAUCAGCACGCCGCGGUGAAUACGUUCCCGGGCCUUGUACACACCGCCCGUCACACCACGAGAGUUUGUAACACCCGAGAANNGGUGAGGUAACNUUUUGGAGCCA
rnacentral:rRNA from 1 species